AUGAUGGAGACCGUCCACAUCAUCCACUGUGGAAACCUCAGCCAUGUAUUCGUGCUAAACGACAAAUGGUACCCAGAGGAAAUAUCCACCAAAGGUGUACCAUUCCCGAAGCUGACCACCAUCCACCUGCAUGACCUGCCAGAGUUGCAGCAGCUAUGCGAGUUCAAGAUGGUGGCACCGAACCUCAAGACUAUCAAGAUCAGAGGAUGUUGGGGCCUGCGCCGGCUGCCGGUGGUGGGUGCCCGUAGUGGAGGCAUGAAGAAGCCGUCCGUCGAGAUCGAAAAACACGUUUGGGACGCGCUUGAAUGGGACGAGGAGGUGGCCCCUGGCCACUUCGAGGCGCCGCUGCACUCACUCUACUACAAGAAGAAACUACCCAGGGUCUCUGUGCUCAGGUGA
rnacentral:rRNA from 1 species